CGGCUGGAAUCUGAGCUCUCUGACCCCCACUCCUGCCCCUACAGCCACUUGGUCCCAUGGGGUGUGGCUGGACAGAAGCCAUCCUCUUCCUUCUGCUCUGUCCAACUGGCUUCUACCGGUAGGUGACAGGGCAGUGUUCCCAGCAGUGGGACAAGAGGCACUGGCACCAGGCCAUGAGCCAUGCAUUCCUAGCUCUGCAGGGCAUGCAUGCCACGCGGACUGUGACAGUGAGCUCUUCCAGGCCCCCAGUGAGCCUGAGAGGGGGUCUGGGAAGAGUCAAGAGACACCCAGACAGUGCCAUGUGGCAGUGAAGCCUCUGGUCCCAAUCUGCCAGGGUGCAAAGCCCCAGGACUGCUGGUGGGAUGUUGGCUACAACAGAAUGGCAGAGAGGAAAGGACCCUCCGGGAUCUUCCAGUUCAGCCAGCCCAUUUUACAGAGGUGGAGACUGAGGCCAGAGGUGAGGAAACUGAGGCCUGGCAUUGCCUGAGAGAUCUGCAACCUGCACCCCAAGCUGACAGGGUGUGUGCAGGCCUGGAGCCCUCAUGAGUCCUCCUAUUCAAAGGCCCUUCCCUCCCCCUCUUGAGCGCUGUUCCUCUGUGUGUAUCCGCUGCAGACAGGGGCCAGCAGGGUCUGGGAAAGCCACAUCAGAAGCCUGCCCAGCUGGAGCGGAGGAAUGGGAGAGUGGCUUCUUGGAGGUCUUCAGCCUGGGAAAAGUCCGAGGCCUUCCUGUCCCCGCUCACCCUGUUCCUCCCAGGCAGGUCUGGUCCAGACAGCUGUGAGAAGUCCCCUGGAGGCAGCGUCCCAGUGGAGCUGGGAGGAAAGAGGGGCCCAGAAAAAGGAAUUUGACCUCUGAUCUGCAGCCAGUUGGUAGCAUUAUUCUGGAUUAUCCUAAAUUGAGCCUGGAACCCUGGGCUUGUGUGACAGACCAAGGGGCCCCACG
rnacentral:lncRNA from 1 species